AUUGAACGCUGGCGGCAUGCCUUACACAUGCAAGUCGAACGGCAGCACGGGUGCUUGCACCUGGUGGCGAGUGGCGAACGGGUGAGUAAUACAUCGGAACGUACCUUAUCGUGGGGGAUAACGCAGCGAAAGCUGUGCUAAUACCGCAUACGCCCUGAGGGGGAAAGCGGGGGAUCGAAAGACCUCGCGCGAUUUGAGCGGCCGAUGCCUGAUUAGCUUGUUGGUGGGGUAAAAGCCCACCAAGGCGACGAUCAGUAGCUGGUCUGAGAGGACGAACAGCCAAACUGGGAAUGAGACACGGCGCAGACUCCGACGGGAGGCAGCAGUGGGGAAUUUUGGACAAUGGGGGCAACCCUGAUCCAGCAAUGCCGCGUGAGUGAAGAAGGCCUUCGGGUUGUAAAGCUCUUUUGUCAGGGAAGAAACACCGGCUCUAACACAGUCCGGGAAUGACGGUACCUGAAGAAUAAGCACCGGCUAACUACGUGCCAGCCGCCGCAGUAA
rnacentral:rRNA from 1 species